rnacentral:rRNA from 1 species
AGCGAACGCUGGCGGCAGGCCUAACACAUGCAAGUCGAGCGCCGUAGCAAUACGGAGCAGCAGACGGGAGAGUAACACGUGGGAACGUACCCUUCAGUUCGGAACAACCCAGGGAAACUUGGGCUAAUACCGGAUACGUCCGUAAGGAGAAAGAUUUAUCGCUGAAGGAUCGGCCCGCGUCUGAUUAGCUAGUUGGUGGGGUAACGGCCCACCAAGGCGACGAUCAGUAGCGGGUCUGAGAGGAUGAUCAGCCUCACUGGGACUGAGACACGGCCCAGACUCCUACGGGAGGCAGCAGUGGGGAAUAUUGGACAAUGGGCGCAAGCCUGAUCCAGCCAUGCCGCGUGGAUGAUGAAGGCCCUAGGGUUGUAAAGUCCUUUCGGCGGGGAAGAUAAUGACGGUACCCGCAGAAGAAGCCCCGGCUAACUUCGUGCCAGCAGCCGCCGUAAGA